GUCUCACAGUUUGAUCCUGGCUCAGAACGAACGCUGGCGGCGCGCCUAAUACAUGCAAGUCGAGCGAGAAGGUGUAGCAAUACACUUGUAAAGCGGCGAACGGGUGAGGAAUACAUGGGUGACCUACCCUCGAGUGGGGAAUAACUAGCCGAAAGGUUAGCUAAUACCGCAUACGAUUCCCGGACUACGGUUCGGGAAGGAAAGCGAUACCGUGGGUAUCGCGCUCAUGGAUGGGCUCAUGUCCUAUCAGCUUGUUGGUGAGGUAACGGCUCACCAAGGCUUCGACGGGUAGCUGGUCUGAGAGGACGAUCAGCCACACUGGCACUGCGACACGGGCCAGACUCC
rnacentral:rRNA from 1 species